GGGCCUAUAGUAUAGCGGUAGAACGGUUCCAUGGCAUGGAACAGGUCGGGGUUCGACUCCCCGUAGGUCCACCA
rnacentral:tRNA from 2 species